rnacentral:rRNA from 1 species
UACGUAGGGGGCAAGCGUUAUCCGGAAUGAUUGGGCGUAAAGGGCGCGUAGGCGGCCGUUUAAGAAUGGAGUGAAAGUCCUGCUUUUAAGGUGGGAAUUGCUUUGUUGACUGAAUGGCUUGAGUGUAGGAGAGGUUAGUGGAAUUCCCGGUGUAGCGGUGAAAUGCGUAGAGAUCGGGAGGAACACCAGUGGCGAAGGCGACUAACUGGACUAUAACUGACGCUGAGGCGCGAAAGUGUGGGGAGCAAACAGG